AACCAUGAGGGUUGGGAACGAGGAUUAGAUUUCGAAGUUUGUGGAUUGAGUUAGGGUUAGAAGGAUGAAGAAAAAAAAGGUUUGGAUUUAGAAUUUGUGGAAAGACGAUAAAUUUUUGGAUGAGAAAUCGGUCCAGAUAGGUUUGAUUUGAUGAUUUUUAAAUGAAGGUUGAAGAUGAGAUUCAUAAGGAAAUGGAGUUAUGAGUUUGAUAUUCUGGAUUUGUUGUUUGUUGGUUGAAAGAAGUUAUUAAGAAGGAUGAAUUUGUUUGUAAUUUUGGUUGAAGGUCUUCGAAUGUCCUGGGUUUGGGAUGAAGAUUCAGAAAGAUGUUCUUAGCAUAUGAAUUUCUAGGUUUGUUUUUGUGGUUUCUUGAAGAGGUGAAGUUUUGGGUUUGAUUUUUUGAAUUUGUUGGUUGUGGAUGGAAGGAAUUUGUUAGGAAAGAUGAAUGUGUUUGAAAUUUUAGUUGAAAUUUUUGAUUUAGUUGAGGUUGUGGAUAAAGGUUCAGAAAGAUCUGUUUGAAGAUAUGAGUGUCUGGGUUCGUUUGAAUUUUUUGAGCUAUUCUUGAAUUUUGGUGGUUGUUCUUGAGGUUUAUGAGAACUAAGAUGAAUAUGGAUGAAUUUUUGAAAAUGAUAUAUGAAUGUAGGGUGAGAGGAUUUGAAGGUAAAAAUAGAGAAAAAAAAGGGAAGAGAGAGAAAUGAAAUAUGAAAUAAUGAGAUAGGAUAAGAAUGAAUAUGAGUUUAGAUGU
rnacentral:lncRNA from 1 species